CCCACACUGAUAAUCCUAUCUUAUCCCGUAUCACAACAAGAAGUAAGGCAAGCCUGAGGCUGGAUUCUGAGCUGUGGGAUAUUUUGCUGUUUACCUCACAGCCUGUUACUGGAGGAACAAGCUAGUGGAAAGGCAAUGGCUUUCCGGAAACCAGAAACUUCUCAGCAUGCUGAAAGAAAAUUACCAGGCCCAGUGAGCUCGGAGUGUGGCUGGAGACCAGGGAGAUGGGAGUGAUUCACGCUUUUUCCGAGGGCACAUUGAGGAGAGGACCCCAAGCUCUCGGCUCCUCCAGGUUGGAGAUUGGGAGGCCACAAUUUUCAUUCCCAUCCUCCAGAGCUCUACGAAAAGCAUUUAGGGAACAAAAGCUCCUGAGAGCAAACUGAAGCAGAUUACUCAGCCUGGCCCCUUUUCCACCUCCUGCAAAGACACUGGAGAAACACUAUAACAGGCCCCUCCCCCAGAAGAUCAGCAGGAACAUCCAGCCAAGACCAAGCUCACUGGUCAAGGAGAACAGUGGAAUUCCAGAGAAGGGGAAAGCAAAGCAUGGAAUUCAUGGCUUUCUCCGCAUGGUUCUUUAGUCUUGUAAAGUUAAUUAAAUUUUUAAAAUUUUUUUUCUUAUUCUAA